UCCUUCGGGAGCAAUUAAAGUGGCGCACGGGUGAGUAACGCGUAGACAAUCUGCCCUUCAGUCUGGGACAACUUUUCGAAAGGAGAGCUAAUACCGGAUAACAAUGCAUGACACAAGUUGUAUAUUUGAAAGCUUUAUGUGCUGAAGGAGGGGUCUGCGUCCCAUUAGCUAGUUGGUAAGGUAAAGGCUUACCAAGGCAACGAUGGGUAGCGGGUUUGAGAGGACGAUCCGCCACACUGGAACUGAGACACGGUCCAGACUCCUACGGGAGGCAGCAGUGGGGAAUAUUGCACAAUGGAGGCAACUCUGAUGCAGCAAUGUCGCGUGAGUGAAGAAGGCCCUUGGGUCGUAAAGCUCUUUUAUGGGGGAAGAUGAUGACGGUACCCCAAGAAUAAGCACCGGCUAACUAUGUGCCAGCAGCCGCGGUAAUACAUAGGGUGCGAGCGUUGUUCGGAAUUACUGGGCGUAAAGGGCGCGCAGGCGGAAUAGUAAGUCGGAGGUGAAAGCCCGGGGCUCAACCCCGGAGGGUCUUUCGAAACUGCUAAUCUAGAGAGGGUCAGGGGCCGGCAGAAUUCCUGGUGUAGAGGUGAAAUUCGUAGAUAUCAGGAGGAAUACCGGUGGCGAAGGCGGCCGGCUGGGGCCACUCUGACGCUGAGGCGCGAAAGCGUGGGGAGCAAACAGGAUUAGAUACCCUGGUAGUCCACGCCGUAAACGAUGAGCACUGGACGUCCGGAGGGUUCGNCCCUUCUGGG
rnacentral:rRNA from 1 species